CCUACGGGUGGCAGCAGUGGGGAAUAUUGCACAAUGGGGGGAACCCUGAUGCAGCAACGCCGCGUGGGUGAAGAAGUACUUCGGUAUGUAAAGCCCUGUUAGCAGGGAAGAAAAUGCCGGUACCUGACCAAGAAGCACCGGCUAACUACGUGCCAGCAGCCGCGGUAAUACGUAGGGGGCAAGCGUUAUCCGGAUUUACUGGGUGUAAAGGGAGCGUAGACGGCAAGGCAAGUCUGGGGUGAAAGCCCGGGGCCCAACCACGGGACUGCUUUGGAAACUGUGUUGCUGGAGUGCAGGAGGGGUAAGCGGAAUUCCUAGUGUAGCGGUGAAAUGCGUAGAUAUUAGGAGGAACACCGAUGGCGAAGGCAGCUUACUGGACUGUAACUGACGUUGAGGCACGAAGGCGUGGGGAGCAAACAGGAUUAGAUACCCGUGUAGUC
rnacentral:rRNA from 1 species